CCUACGGGAGGCAGCAGUGGGGAAUAUUGCGCAAUGGGGGAAACCCUGACGCGGCAACGCCGCGUGAGUGAGGAAGGACUUCGGUCUGUAAAGCUCUGUUAAUGAGGAAAAAUGGUAGUUGGUCUAAUAGGCCGAUUAUUUGAUGGUACUCAUAGAGGAAGCACCGGCUAACUUCGUGCCAGCAGCCGCGGUAAUACGAAGGGUGCAAGCGUUGUUCGGAUUUAUUGGGCGUAAAGCGCGCGUAGGCGGACCUGCAAGUAAGAUGUGAAAUCUCGAGGCUCAACCUCGAAACUGCGUCUUAAACUACAGGUCUAGAAUCUCGGAGGGGGAAGGGGAAUUUCGCAUGUAGGGGUAAAAUCCGUAGAUAUGCGAAGGAACACCAGAGGCGAAGGCGCCUUCCUGGACGAGUAUUGACGCUGAGGCGCGAAAGCGUGGGGAUCAAACAGGAUUAGAUACCCUGGUAGUCCACGCUGUAAACGACGAACACUAGGUAUUGGAGGAUUUGACCCCUUCAGUGCCGUAGCUAACGCGUUAAGUGUUCCGCCUGGGAAGUACGGUCGCAAGACUAAAACUUAAAUGAAAUUGACGG
rnacentral:rRNA from 1 species